UAAAACAUUAUAAAAGUCUGAGAAACUUGUGACCUUCACCAUACUUUUUGACAAGUACAACAUCAAUUCCAGACAAGAAAGGAGAAUCUAUCCAUGCUGAAACGCUGCCAUGGGUACCAAAAAGUUUUUAAUCUUAGUGGUGUACCUACUUCUACACAGCAGCUUUCCACAAGCAUCGCCAGUUUUGGAAUGUGACGGGGUACAACCAUCAUGGAUGCAAGAUGCAGCUUCAACUACAGACAAAGAAACACAAAAAUCUGUAACUGAGCAGGCUGUUGAAAUGAAAAAUGCUUUAGAUGCCUUUAAGGGUUUUGGGGAAGGCCUGGCAGAGAUGAACACAAUUUUGAAGGAAACAGAAAAAGCUGGUAAAGCCCUGACAAAAGUCCUGAAAGUGAUGGAUUCCUUGUCCAAAGUUGCGUCCUGUUUUGGAUUUGUUGGCUCAAUAUUAGGUUUAAUUUUGGCCUUCAUUCCACAAAGUGAUCCAAAUAUGGAGUUCAUGAAAGAGCAAUUUUCAGAGAUCAACAGAAAACUAGAUUCAAUUGCUCUUCAAAUAGACUCCUUAGCAAAGGAGAUUGAGUGGGACACCUAUGCAAGCACAUAUGGUAGAGACGAGAAUGCCAUAAAAAACUCCUGGGCUGAGUUGAUGAAAUUCCUAGAACAGGCUCCUGCACUCGAUGAAAGAAGGAAAGCAAGUUUAGCUGAAGCUUUUACCAGUCACUACACCAACAGUGCAACACGUAACAGUGUCUCUAACUUUUAUCGCUACCUAACUGAAAACGAAGAUGCGAGUCUAAACAAAAAUCUUUUACAACUAGUCAUUCAGAAGUCGAAGGGUGACGUCAAGAUCCUGUCAAUGUAUUCUGGCUACUUUUUGAGUCUCAUGGUUAAAGGCUUGCAGCUGAAUGUGUAUUAUGACAUAAUGAUGGGUUAUGGGGGUGUUUCUGGAGCAAAAGAGGGAGUUGAAAGGUUAACCACCAUGCUGACAGCAAUGAAGGACGCUAUGAUUCAGUGUGUAGAUGAAACUUUAAAUUGGGCUUUGGAAGACGCUAAUAAAAUUAAAACAGAACAAUUCUCAAGCAAUUUAGAGCUAGCCAAUGCCAUUGGUACAAAAUUGAACCAGAAGUUUAUCUGGUAUGAAUGGACAGUUAUAGUGCAUGAUAUUAACAAUGAAGAGGAGAAAGGAUAUGGCCACACUACAGACCUUAUCGCCCAAGACAAAGCAAAAAUUCAUAUUAUCUACAGAGAAAAAAACUUUAUUGUCAAUGAGGGUAUUAAAAUGGAAAUACAAAGACAACUUGGGGAGAGCCAGUGUUUCAAUAUGAAAAAGCAUGGCUUGAGUAGCCCUUUUGCUGACAGGACUUUAAAACAUUUAGAAUACAUCCACACUGUUUAUAAAGAUUCAAACUAUGCCCAAACACCUACCAGAGGCUUAAUAGAGUUUCAGUGUAGCAGAACAAUACAAACUGAAUACGGAUCAACUGAAGUCAAGAUGUUUGAUCUUACUAUAUUUUUGAAGAGUAAUGAUGUUGUUGAACAGGACCCUUGCUCGAAAAACAAAUGUCACAAUGAUGGAAAGUGCAAACAACUUAAAGACACAACAGAGGAAUUAUGUAUAUGCACCAGAAUGUUCACUGGUCAAACAUGUGAGGAAAGUAUUAAACAUUUUAUUGACUUUUCAGCUAUAGAAGCUCAACUGAAUAGUAUUGCCUUAAAGCCUGUUCCAGAUAUGACUGCUAUAUAUUACAGUAUCAACGAUCUGCAAAGCUUUAUAAAAAUACAAGUUCAAACUAUCCGCAAUGACAUAGCUUGGACCGUUAUAUUUGUGAAGUACAGCAAUGUCAUACAGAAAUUCCGUUACAUAAAAGCUAAACUUUUUGAACUUCAAGCCGAAAAUAUAACCCAAAGCGAGUUCAUAGAAGAGGUUGGAAGCACUUUUCCAAAAGGUAACACGUUCUUGUACAUGAUCAGCGAAUUCAACAACAUGAUGCAGGGCAAGGGAUUCGAGGAGACAAGGACAAUCCUAGAUAUUGUUCGCGAGUCUCUGCUGAUUGACAGUAAUGGAAAAAACCCCAAGGAAUGCACUUUAGAAUACAGAAAUAAAUUAGAUUAUUUUGUACAAUACAUAUUUGCCCUUGAGAAAGAAGCCGUCUCAGCCUGGUCAAAAUAUCUAGUGAUCACAGGGAAAAAGGACAAUGCACAUACGGUCAAGGAUACAUUUAAACGUUAUGUUUCUGAACAAUGGGCAUUGUACAACAAAAAUGGAUGUGGACCACUUAAUGCUGAACAACUAUCUAAUAGUUACUGCGAGAAGCCCUACCACAGCAAUAAACAGCUGGUGCACCUCAAAUGUGAAGAUGGCUACCAACCAUUUCCAAAGACCGUCACCUGCUCUAAUGGACAAUGGAGUCACUUGCCUGUGUGUCACACUGACCAGACUGAAAAGUUGACCCUGGAAUGCAAAUAUGAAAAGGGAACAACCGUCUGCACAGCGACAUGCAUGAAUGGAUGGGAUUUCCAAGACGGCAGUCACAGUGUGAAAUAUAUGUGUUCAAAACAACCUUGCCCGAUUUUUGUUCUACAAAGAUGUGAUAGGUGCAGUAUUGACAGAGUUUGUCAGUAUAACGAAGUGUGUAGAGAAGGAAAAUGCAUCUCUGCAUGCAAUGAUAAUAAUCCCUGUGGGGUCAACGCUGAUUGCACUGGAGCAAAUAAUGCACCCAAAUGUACGUGUAGGAGUCCUUGGGUAGGGGACCCUUACCAGGGCUGCCGGGAACAGGAUCUACAAUGGAAGGCCUCAAACAUAAUACCAGCAAAUACUGUCAAAACACCUAGAGGAGCAUUUGUUUGUAGAGCUCGAGGACCAGACGGUCUAUAUCAUGGAGGAUGGAUUUACAUUCUUGAAAAAAACUACUGCAAUUUUGAGUAUGCUUCCUCGGAACACUCUGUUGAGGCCUAUGAGGCUCUUGUGGAUCCAUGUGCUGGUAGGGGAGUGGAAUGGGUCAAAGGUUAUCCAAACAACAAAUCGGUAACGACUGAAAAAUCAGAUACAAAGUUGUAUGUGUGCAUUGAUCCCAAUGGCUAUUCAGGAAAACUGCACCUUACUCCAAAUGGCUGGCGAUGUCUCAUAGGAUUUGGGAAUCAGGGUCAUGCUCACGAUGACUACUCCAUACUUCAACAAAAGCCAUGCAUGUAAGGCAUCUACAAUGACUGUCUCACUGCAGAACCACACCUCCUUUCAGUAAUGAAGGUUAUGAAUCACAACGGUUAUGAAUACUCAUUAUUACAUUACAUAAUAGGCAGUGAAGUUUUAUUAUUUGUACAAAUUAUUCUGGAGUUUUAUGCUUUUGCUUGCAACGCAAGUGGCAAACCUUUUAAUAGUAAUCUCAUAGUGAAUAUGAUGAAAGAGGAAUGAAACAUCAUAUGGACUUUAGACAGAAGAGGGGAUGUCCUCAAAUGUACACUAUAGAGAAGAUCCUUAUACAAAAAAAAAUAUUAUGUGAGAAUUUGAAUGCUUGCUUAUAUGCGCAAAUUCAUGACAUGUAUGCUACACUCAGUGUUCCAGAAUCAAUAAACAGCAUAUUAUGUGUUGUUUUCACUCUAAAAAAAAUUAAGCCUCAAACUCAUUGUUUUCAUAGAAAUAUGUAUUCUUACUUGCAAAGAUUUAGCUGGUAGCUGCUUUAUUAAGAAAAUAAUUUACUUGUAUGAAGAAGGCGGUGGUGGUGUGGGAGUGCUUUUCUGGUGUAUGAGCUGAGGGGACAAGGAAUGUUAAUUAUAUGUAUGUGUAAGAUAUAACUUAGAGGCUUGGCAUUCUUUGUUUAGUCAUACCAUAUAACUAUUCUUCUGUUUCCAUGGAGAUGGAUAACUUACUAGACACGACAAUCCUGGGACGUUGAUUUAUAACACCAUCUAACCUAAUGUCAACUGUUAGAUGGUGGGAAUCAGCAGAGAGAAACUAACACUGGUGAGAGCUGUGAUAGUAACAUCUGGAGACAUGUACUAUGACUGAUGAAUUAACACUGAAGAAGUCUCUAUAUCUGAUUCAUUCUUUCACCUGUGCAAAUCUACAUGAACAGCUAGUAACCUAACAGUUAUGUAGAUCAAACACUGGGGACACUGUCUGUGAUUUAUUUCAAAUGCAGUUACUAUUUUGAAGAAUCUCAACUAGAAAUGUAUUUUGAUUUAAGAAUUUUUUGGUUACUACAUGAUUCCAUAUGUUUAAUUUC